rnacentral:siRNA from 1 species
AGGUGACACAGAUAACAGGUGAAU